AAGGUUCCGUAGGUGAACCUGCGGAAGGAUCAUUA
rnacentral:rRNA from 2 species